rnacentral:rRNA from 1 species
AACGCUGGCGGCGUGCUUAACACAUGCAAGUCGAACGGAAAGGCUCCUGCUUGCAGGGGUACUCGAGUGGCGAACGGGUGAGUAACACGUGGGUGAUCUGCCCUGCACUUCGGGAUAAGCUUGGGAAACUGGGUCUAAUACCGGAUAGGACCGCAUUUUGGAUGGUGUGGUGGAUAGUUUUUUCGGUGUGGGAUGAGCUCGCGGCCUAUCAGCUUGUUGGUGGGGUAAUGGCCUACCAAGGCGUCGACGGGUAGCCGGCCUGAGAGGGUGUACGGCCACAUUGGGACUGAGAUACGGCCCAGACUCCUACGGGAGGCAGCAGUGGGGAAUAUUGCACAAUGGGCGCAAGCCUGAUGCAGCGACGCCGCGUGGGGGAUGACGGCCUUCGGGUUGUAAACUCCUUUCGCUAGGGACGAAGAGUAAUUGACGGUACCUGGAGAAGAAGCACCGGCUAACUACGUG